GUUUUUAUAUAACUGUCUGUAUGUGGACAGAAACUUUACAGGGAUGUGAUCGAGAUCAAAAGAAAGGUCGACCACACCUAAACUAAAGGGUGCUUCUUUAACCCCCCAUUCCGGUAAUCUUCAAUUUUGCGAUGGGUAAUCUUUAUCUGGUGUGCAAACAUAUGAUAUUUUUCAAAGAUGGGUAUGGUUUGAAAACUUACUGUAUUAACAGCUGAAGUGUUACCAUUGUGAGAGUUUCUACUGCCUUCUCUCUGACAGUCAGCAGCAUUAAAGCGAGCAUUAAAAUCAGAAAGAAAGAGAACCACUGAGGCUCUUCAGGCUCCCCCGAUGUAAAAAAUCUGAACAAAAAGCACCACUGCUGUGAGUAAAAACACGACCCAGGCGAGGGGCUGACCCCAAACCAUGUGGCCCACCCUGACUGGUCACCACAGAGCGAGAGGGCACAUCCGCACAAUCACAUUAUGCUUGAUAAAUGCCCAGCUUGCACCAAAAUAUGUGUGGCUUCUUAAGAACAGAAGGCUGCCACAUGGCCCAGUUUAGUGAAAAAAAAAAAAAAACCCUAACUUGCAAGGCUGAAGAUGACACUGUGUGUAUGCGGGGUGCACAGGCGCGUGCGCGUGGCACCAACACAUGGUUAUUAUGCCCCCGAGCGAGGCUGGAGACAGCUGCACAGUCGUGAAGUCAGUGGAGAACAAAAAGAAAAAAAAAAGCGUACUGAAUGCGAUUUCUCUGAAUCUCAUGCUCAUAAAAUGGUGCCUGGUGGCCUGAUGGAACUAUUUCAUCAACAAACACAUCAUGUGACAUAACAGAUAAAUGAUUUCAGGGCCUCCGCUCCUCCCCAAAUCACAAUCUAGCCCCAGAUGUAACAGUUAUCGGCGUACAGAGCAUAGCGGUGCCGUCUAGGUCUUUGAGAGGCCUUGCGUGCAUAUUUGUUGGAUGAUGAAGUGAAGGUGAGUUGAGGUGAGUAGCGUUACAAACCCUCCAAAACCAUCUUCAAUCUGCUUCUCACUUCAGAACAAACUGUUUUGCUUUCAGCAGUUAAUCUCGCCCCGAGAGUAAGUGAGAGUCGUGGGCUUGUUGGCAGGUGUCAUUACCCGACAGCCCGUGGCAGCGAGGGAUUCGCAAACAGGAAGUGAUGAUAUUACAUUUCUCCCCCCAGGCUGCGGAUUCCUGUCAGGUCUGCGGGAACGCUGUUAUUAUCAUCACAAAAGCACUCAUUUGUUCAUCAGCUCCAGCAGCCGCAGCUAUUACUUUGCACGGCGAAGAUUAAAACAAGAAUAGCCGACAUUUUUCAUAACCCUCCUUCUAGUGUAAUAACCCAUCUCCUGAAUAAAAAAA
ensembl:lncRNA